GGGUAGUCCUGGCCGUAAACGAUGUGGGCUUGGCAUUGGGGGUUCUACGUGAGCGCCCAGUGUCGUAGCGAAGGCGUUAAGCCCACCGCCUGGGAAGUAUGGUCGCAAGGCUGAAACUUAAAGGAAUUGGCGGGGGAGCACAGCAACGGGAGGAGCGUGCGGUUUAAUUGGAUCCAACGCCGGAAAACUCACCGGAGGAGACUGUCGCAUGUGGGUCAGGCUGAAGACCUUACCCGAACAAAAGACAGAGAGGUGGUGCAUGGCCGCCGUCAGCUCGUACCGUAGGGCGUUCUGUUAAGUCAGAUAACGAGCGAGACCCCUGCCCUUAGUUGCCACUCUGGAGUCCGCUUCAGAAGCACACUAAGGGGACCGCUGGUGAUAAACCAGAGGAAGGAGGGGGCAACGGUAGGUCAGUAUGCCCUGAAUCCUCCGGGCAACACGCGCGCUACAAAGGCUGGGGACAAUGGGGUCGCAACCCCGAAAGGGGGAAGCUAAAUCCCGAAACCCAGUCGUAGUUCGGAUUGAGGACUGCAACCCGUCUC
rnacentral:rRNA from 1 species